rnacentral:rRNA from 1 species
AACGAACGCUGGCGGCAGGCUUAACACAUGCAAGUCGAACGCUCGUAGCAAUACGGGAGUGGCGGACGGGUGAGUAACGCGUGGGAACGUGCCCUGAGGUACGGAAUAACUGAGGGAAACUUCAGCUAAUACCGUAUGAGCCCCGAGAGGGGGAAAGAUUUAUCGCCUUGGGAGCGGCCCGCGUCGGAUUAGCUAGUUGGUGGGGUAACGGCCUACCAAGGCUUCGAUCCGUAGCUGGUCUGAGAGGACGAUCAGCCACACUGGGACUGAGACACGGCCCAGACUCCUACGGGAGGCAGCAGUGGGGAAUCUUGCGCAAUGGGGGGCAACCCUGACGCAGCCAUGCCGCGUGAACGAUGAAGGCCUUAGGGUUGUAAAGUUCUUUUACCCGUGACGAUGAUGACGGUAACGGGGGAAUAAGCUCCGGCUAACUUCGUGCCAGCAGCCGCGGU